AGAAUCUCCUGAUGAGGCCACAAAUGCCUCCGGCCACACACUUAGCCCUGCCCUGCUUCUGAGCCAAAUGAAGUGGGAAAUGAAGGCUGGAAUGUAGCCAUGGCACCUGGAGGGCACCUCGUAACCAUGAAGUGACUUUAGGACAGAAGCCACACACAGUGGUGGAGCAGAAAGUAACCCUGGACGCCACUUGAUAAGAUGGAGGUAUCACAGGAUACAAAGAAAUGGGAUCCUUGAGUCACUGGAUGUAGAAGAGCUCCCAUGAACCUGCCUUUGGGUGAGACUAUGGGUGAGUGAGAAAUUAACUUCUGUUUUGCUAAGUCACUGAGAGUUCAGAGUUUAUUUGUUACUGCAGCAUAG